ensembl:rRNA 5S_rRNA 5S ribosomal RNA
GUCUACGGCCCCAUGCCACCCUGAACGAGCCCGAUCCUGACUGAUCUCAGAAGCUAAGCAGGGUCAGUCCUGGUUAGUACUUGGACUGGAGACCACCUAGGAAGCCCAGGUGCCGUAGGCA